rnacentral:tRNA from 1 species
GUGAGAAUGGCGGAAUAGGUAGACGCGUACGCUUGAGGGGCGUAUGGCACGUGCUGUGAGGGUUCGAGUCCCUUUUCUCACACCA